CAUUGCCUCAUAUUAUCCGGUGGGAAGGUCUGCGAAACGCCAAGAGGUCAAGGUAGACC
rnacentral:ribozyme from 13 species